rnacentral:rRNA from 1 species
GAUAAACGCUGGCGGCGUGCAUGAGACAUGCAAGUCGAACGGACGAUAGGGGCUUGCUCCGAUCGUUAGUGACGGACGGCUGAGUAACGCGUAGGUGACCUCGCCCCGAAGUGGGGAAUAACUGCCCGGAAAGGGGUGGCUAAUACCGCAUGUGGUGGUGCGUUCAUUCGUACCAGUAAAGCCGCAAGGCGCGUUCGGGGAGGGGCCUGCGUCCGAUUAGCUCGGUUGGGUGGGGUAACGCUCACCAAGGCGACGAUCGGUAGGUGGUCUGAGAGGACGAUCACCCAGACUGGGACUGAGACACGGCCCAGACUCCGUACGGGAGGCAGCAGGUCGGGUAAUUUUGCGCAAUGGAACGAAAGUCUGACGCAGCAACGCCGCGUGAGGGAUGACGGCC